ACCAUCCUUUUCUUGGGGUUGUGCUAUUGUGCAAUGAGCAUGUAGUGAGGACAGUACCGCUAACACCUAAACACACUUGCAUCAACUAGAGCUCUGCUUUUCCUUGGUGUAAUUUUUUUGGGGAA